GAGCAGGGCUUUACGUCGACGUUGACGUGAGUGGCACGCAGGGUUCAGGAAGCCACUUGCAGGGCUUCGCGGUGAAGGCGGCCUCUAGACAAGCUCCAGCAUUGGGCGAAAGCUGUUGGUGAGGCUCUUCAGGGGGAUGAGACUGCCAGUGGUGCUGCGCACAGACUGGUAGGUCUGAAUAAAGAAUUUCAUAUCUCUUUGUUUCAUUAUCAUUACAAGAAGACAUAAGUGAAAGAAUAUGAACUGUCAACUUUCCAUAAUCGCACCAACGGUGAGGAGUUAUUAUGAAAAAAGACUUUUUGGAUUCAGAAAAUUGGUAAAAAAGACACUCUAUAUUCCCUGAAGGGGAUAAUGUAGGAAAGAGGAAGAGGAGAUGAAUAAAAGGAAAGCAAAAGGAAAAAAAGUUAAAAAAGAGUAACAUUGUAUUUUAUAAGUAUGAAUAAAUAUUUGAAAUAUUUAAAUAUACACAAACAUUUUAUAUAGAUACAGUUUUAUCAAAACUAAAAUGC